rnacentral:rRNA from 1 species
GUGUCAGCAGCCGCGGUAAGACAGAGGGUGCAAACGUUGUUCGGAAUUACUGGGCGUAAAGCGCGUGUAGGCGGCUAUGCAAGUCGGGUGUGAAAUCCCACGGCUCAACCGUGGAAGUGCACUCGAAACUACGUAGCUGGAGUUCUGGAGAGGAAGGUGGAAUGCUCGGUGUAGAGGUGAAAUUCGUAGAUAUCGAGUGGAACACCGGUGGCGAAGGCGGCCUUCUGGACAGAAACUGACGCUGAGACGCGAAAGCGUGGGGAGCAAACAGGAUUAGAAACCCCCGUAGUCC